rnacentral:tRNA from 1 species
AAGAUUUUAAGUUAAUCAAAACUAUAAACCUUCAAAGUUUAAAAUUAUUUAUUUUAUAAAAUCUUA